rnacentral:rRNA from 1 species
AGAGUUUGAUCCUGGCUCAGGAUGAACGCUGGCGGCGUGCUUAAUACAUGUAAGUCGAACGAGGAGUUUUGCUUCGGUAAAUCUCCGAGUGGCGAACGGGUGAGUAACGCGUUGGUGACCUGCCCCGAAGAGGGGGAUAACGGCUCGAAAGGGCUGCUAAUACCCCAUGUGGUCGUAGAGGUUAGAGGCUUUACGUCUAAAGGAGCAAUCCACUUCGGGAUGGGCCUGCGUCCCAUCAGCUAGUUGGUAGGGUAAUGGCCUACCAAGGCGACGACGGGUAGGGGGCCUCAGAGGGUGACCCCCCACACUGGCACUGAAACACGGGCCAGACACCUACGGGUGGCAGCAGUAGGGAAUAUUGCACAAUGAGCGAAAGCUUGAUGCAGCAACGCCGCGUGCGCGAUGACGGCCUUCGGGUUGUAAAGCGCUUUUCGGGGAGAUGAGGAAGGACAGUAUCCCCGGAAUAAGUCUCGGCUAACUACGUGCCAGCAGCCGCGGUAA